rfam:Salmo salar isolate Sally breed double haploid chromosome ssa22, whole genome shotgun sequence.
UGGCUCAGUUGCUAGAGCAUGGUGUUUGCAACGCCAGGGUUGUGGGUUUGAUUCCCAC